rnacentral:rRNA from 1 species
GACGAACGCUGGCGGCGUGCUUAACACAUGCAAGUCGAACGGAAAGGCCCUGCUUUUGUGGGGUGCUCGAGUGGCGAACGGGUGAGUAACAUGUGAGUAACCUGCCCUCGACAUUGGGAUAACUUCAGGAAACUGGGGCUAAUACCGGAUAGGAGCUCCUGCUGCGUGGUGGCGGUUGGAAAGUUGCGGCGGGUGGGGCGGGACUCGAGGCUUGUCAGGUUGUUGGGUGGGUAGUGGCUUACCAAGGCCUUGACGGGUAGCAGGCCUGAGAGGGGGCCCGGCCACAUUGGGACUGAGAUACGGCCCAGACCCGUACGGGAGGCAGGAGAGGGGAAUAUAGCACAAUGGGAUGAAGCCUGAUGCAGUAACGCCGUGUGGGGGAUGAGGGCAUUGGGUUUGUAAUCUGCAUCUGCCUGUGACGAAGCGUGAGUGACGGUAACGGGUAAAGAAGCACCGGCUAACUACGUG